rnacentral:rRNA from 1 species
CUUGUUGGUGGGGUAACGGCCUACCAAGGCGACGACGGGUAGCCGGCCUGAGAGGGCGACCGGCCACACUGGGACUGAGACACGGCCCAGACUCCUACGGGAGGCAGCAGUGGGGAAUAUUGCGCAAUGGGCGAAAGCCUGACGCAGCGACGCCGCGUGGGGGAUGAAGGCCUUCGGGUUGUAAACCCCUUUCAGCAUCGACGAAGCCCUUUGGGGUGACGGUAGGUGCAGAAGAAGCGCCGGCCAACUACGUGCCAGCAGCCGCGGUAAGACGUAGGGCGCGAGCGUUGUCCGGAUUUAUUGGGCGUAAAGAGCUCGUAGGCGGCUUGUUGCGUCGGCUGUGUAAUCCCGCGGCUUAACUGUGGGUUUGCUGUCGAUACGGGCGGGCUGGAGUUCGGUAGGGGAGACUGGAAUUCCUGGUGUAGCGGUGAAAUGCGCAGAUAUCAGGAGGAACACCGGUGGCGAAGGCGGGUCUCUGGGCCGAUACUGACGCUGAGGAGCGAAAGCGUGGGGAGCGAACAGGAUUAGAUACCCUGGUAGUCCACGCUGUAAACGUUGGGCGCUAGGUGUGGGGGGCCUCUCCGGUUUCCUGUGCCGUAGCUAACGCAUUAAGCGCCCCGCCUGGGGAGUACGGCCGCAAGGCUAAAACUCAAAGGAAUUGACG